UACAGAGGAGCCAAGCGUUGUCCGGAUUGACUGGGCGUAAAGCGCACGCAGGCGGUCGCGCGCGUGGGGUGUGAAAUCUGGCCGCUUAACGGCCAGGCGCCAUCCCAUACGGCGCGACUGGAGUGAUGCAGAGGUCGGUGGAAUUGCCGGUGUAGUGGUGAAAUGCGUAGAGAUCGGCAGGAACACCCAGGAGGAAACCAGCCGACUGGGCAUCUACUGACGCUGAGGUGCGAGAGCGUGGGGAGCGAACCGG
rnacentral:rRNA from 1 species